UUUAAAACGUUCCGUCAUGAUAGCUUCGAUAUGUUGUAGUACAGGCAUUCUUACCAUCUUGUACCAAUUUUCUUUUGUGUCAUCAUUAUUUUCAUUUUGAAAUGGAGAUGAAGGGGGGAAAAUGUAUUCCAUAAUAUAAAUAAUCAUCCUAUCCAAAAUCUCAUUUCCUUACAAUUCCGAUAGUUAUCUAACUUUUUAAUUUAUAGUAAGUUAACUGAACGGUAACCCUGAAUACAUCUCUGUUAUUUUAUUUGCAUGUGGAGUUUUCCACUUUAAUAAACGUACGUGUAUGCAAAAAUAUAAUUUACAAAAUAAAAAAUAUUAAAAACCAUUUGUAAUGAUAAGAUUAAACGUAUCUCGUUCAUUACAUGGUACUCCAUACACAUUACAUAUGUAUAGCUCAAAUAUACAAUAAUGUAUAACAGAUCCUCACAGCAAAGAAAUGCGUCUUAAGGUAACAAAUGCAAAUAUGAUGAAAAUAUAAAUCAUAUACGAUUGUCUUAUUCGCAUUUUAUGACUGCUAUACACUGUCUGCAGAUAGGUAUUUAUGCAUGUGAAACACUAUGGUUAUAAUCUAUGAAUAUCAGGAGGGGCGGUUUCCUACCAGAAAAAAAGCCAUACUUCUAUAAAAAUCCUGCUUCCUGUGACAGCUGCCGAAAUAGCCCAAACUUCACGUACAAAACGUAAUUGUCUUACGCGAAUAAUGGCCAGUGUGACAAUUCGUCAUCCAAUGGCAUAUUUAAGACCAAUCAAUGCAAUAGAUUGAUAGAUUCGAUUCAAUCCGCACGAUAGGAAACCAGGUAAGAUAAAAAUGUACAAAGUAUUUUAUUUCCGAGAAAGCUGCAACACUAUUCUAUUUUUUCUUUAUUUCAUUCUCCCUCUCUCGCUCUUUUUUUUUUUUUUUUUUUUUUUUUAAAGUUUUAUGCUAUGGUUUUAGCAUGAACACUUACUUAGUAUAGAUUGACAUUUAAGGACCUGUCGUUUUGGGCUGCUAAAGCAUGCACUUAUUUAAAAUCAAUCUAGACAAACAUAUAUGUUUUCUCAUUUUUUGACAUUCAUUGACCUGUUAACCAUUAAAGACGACAGCAAAUAUUUGAAGUAAAUUUGUGCGUGCCUGAAGUUACGUUUUCUUUUUUUCUUUUCAAUCAUCUACACUCGUACAAUCUUCUAAAUGCCUUGUUUGACAUAUUGUCUGGGGUUCCUUUAUAUAUUUUGAAUGGCCGUGGAUUGACUAUUUGCUUUAGUGUUGCAAGACAACACGAAAAGAUCGAAACAUAAUAAUGGUCAGGAAAUAAAUAUUUAUCUUUCACUAGUGUUCAGUCAGAAAUGUUAAACAAUAAAACAUGCAUACAUGUACAUCAAAAAUUGUAUUCACUCUUACCAUAUCUAAUGAUACAACAGGGGUGCGGAUUUUGACAUCUCUAAAAAUAGCAACUAUAGAAAUUAUUUUUGCCAUCACUUUUGCAUAAAAAGGAUCUUAAUUCCUCUGUAAAAAGUCAGUCUGACGUGUUGAAAUUAAAUGUACAAUGUGCACAGUGUAUUCAUGUUGAAAUAUAUUUGUGUAUACCAUAUCCCUUGUUCAAAACAAAAGUGGUUGAAUUUGCGUCGAAAGCAAAACUGUUUCACAUAUUUCCAUGAAUUAGGCGAGUCGCACACAAAAUCGUUUUAUUGUUGAAGAGCUGUUGAGGAUGCCUAACCUAGAGAGCCUCGUGUUCACCCUCUUGCUAGUGGUUGUCCUAGCUACGUCAGCGGAAGCCUUCGGACUCUUUAAUUACGACUUCCCCAGAUUCAACCCUUCCCCAUUCUUCUAUCCUGUCUUUGGGGGAUUCGGAGGGGACGACUUCUUCGAUGAUGAUUAAUUCAGAUGAUGAGAUUCCAAAUUGGUAGAAAGAUCCGUGCAUAAGAAGUCCCAUGUUGUGUAAAGCUGCAAAACACAGCUUCCAGAAACUUUAAAUUCUUCGAUAUCAAAUAAAGUUUUUACAAACUUGC